GAUGAACGCUGGCGGCGUGCCUAAUACAUGCAAGUCGAGCGAAUGGAUUAAGAGCUUGCUCUUAUGAAGUUAGCGGCGGACGGGUGAGUAACACGUGGGUAACCUGCCCAUAAGACUGGGAUAACUCCGGGAAACCGGGGCUAAUACCGGAUAACAUUUUGAACCGCAUGGUUCGAAAUUGAAAGGCGGCUUCGGCUGUCACUUAUGGAUGGACCCGCGUCGCAUUAGCUAGUUGGUGAGGUAACGGCUCACCAAGGCAACGAUGCGUAGCCGACCGGAGAGGGUGAUCGGCCACACUGGGACUGAGAACCGGCCCAGACUCCUACGGGAGGCAGCAGUAGGGAAUCUUCCGCAAUGGACGAAAGUCUGACGGAGCAACGCCGCGUGAGUGAUGAAGGCUUUCGGGUCGUAAAACUCUGUUGUUAGGGAAGAACAAGUGCUAGUUGAAUAAGCUGGCACCUUGACGGUACCUAACCAGAAAGCCACGGCUAACUACGUGCCAGCAGCCGCAGUAA
rnacentral:rRNA from 1 species